rnacentral:lncRNA from 1 species
CCCGCCCCGAGCCCUGGCUCCCGCCGCCGGCGCCCGCGAUUGGCCGCGUUGGGCGCCAAUGCCCGCCCCGUGCGAGCCGCCCCCGCCCCCGCGGAGGGGAGCGAGCGCUCGCGGGCCCGUGGUGGGUUCGGCUGCGCUGCGUGAGGGGCUGAGGCGGUCGUGGUGGCGCGAGCGCAGGAUCUUGGGGAACUGUUUCCCAGCUGUUCUCUGUGGGGCGAAGCCCACAUAUGAACCAAUUCAGGUCAUGGCUGUCCUUCAGAGCUGUCCUCAGGAGAGGGGCCACGCAAGCUGA